CGCCUUUUGAAGCCCAACAUAAAAGGUCUCGCCUGCCCAGUGAUAUAUUCAACGGCCGCGGUAUUAUGACCGUGCAAAGGUAGCGUAAUCACUUGUCUCUUAAAUAGGGACCAGUAUGAACGGCGAAACGAGGGCCUAACUGUCUCACUAAAUUAAUCAGUGAAAUUGAUUUUCCCGUGCAGAAGCGGGAAUAAUAAUAUAAGACGAGAAGACCCUGCGGAGCUUAAAACACAAGCUAAUAUACACAUACAUAGCAGCCCGUUUUAGGUUGGGGCGACCGAGAGGUAAAAUAAACCCUCAAGACUACAAGCAAGAAGGACACUUCCAAUAAAUAGUAUUACUAAUAUUUUGACCCAACAAUCUUGAUCAACGAACCAAGUUACCCCAGGGAUAACAGCGCAAUCCUCUCAUAGAGCCCAUAUCGACGAGCGGGUUUACGACCUCGAUGUUGGAUCAGGACCCCCAAAUGGCGCAACCGCUAUUUAAGGUUCGUUUGUUCAACGAUUAAAGUCCU
rnacentral:rRNA from 1 species